ACUAUAAUGUUCACAUAGUGGCCUGCACAACACUGGUAGAGGGAAAAGAAAGGAUGGUGUCACACAGUGGGAUGUUUGAGCAGCAAAAAUGAUAGACAUGCUGAUAAUUUUGCAGAGGAACAUGUUCUGCAACUGUUAAAUACAGUUACAUUUUGUUUGAAUUGAAGAUAUAUCAUUCUUAUGUGUUUCUGAUGUGGAGGGUAGUGGUUGCUAUAAGUUGAGCAGCCAGUUUGUCUUCAGCAAAUUCUAAACCUUUGCUUUAAGUCCACUGUACCAUGACCUUGCAUGUAAAUGGUUGCAGUGGUUUAAAUUAGUUUAAAACAAAACCCAUUCAGGUUAGCACCAAAACAGUGGCAGUCCAGUUUCAAGUUCCAUUUUCUCACGUGCUGCUGAGUUUCUCCAGCUUUUUUGUGUACCUUCGAUUUUCCAGCAUCUGCAGUUCCUUCUUAAACACAUUUUACGAACUUGAUUUGUAAACAAUUUCCUGAAUACUUCCUUUAAAGACUAAAAUCUAAAUUACAAUCAAAGAUAAUUGAACUUUGCAUUUUUUGGUAUACCUGCUGGGGCUGUGUCUUUAAAGAAAAUUGCAAGCUUGUGAGAAAUGUUCUGAAAAUAGGAGCAUUGUUUUGGUUUUUAAUAUUAGAAUCUUUACAGAAUCACUAGUUUGUUUCCAAUAAAACUUAAUAUCAAGUUUUGAACUUGUGUAGAAUGUAGUUUGAAUACUUUACACAUACCAGUAUAGGAAUACGAUAGCAGAACAAGAAUCGUGCAUUGAAAUAGUCUGCUUGUCCUGAGUAACCUGAAGCUAACUUGUACAAUACUCAUAUGCGAGUUAUGAAAGCAGCUUGUAGUGUUUACCAACCAGGCACACAUCCUCAAAAAUCGUUAAUACAUGCAUAUUUACUUUUGUUAGUUGACCAUGGGUACUAACAAAUGUCUUUGUAUUAUAAAUAAUCUACAAGUACACCAAAUUGAAAAUGUUUCCUCAAAGGCUGUAUCUUGCCCCUGCUGAUUUACUCUGCUGUACGCUUGUUGCAAACAAGUCACCAUGAGCACCUCUUUGUCCAAACUUUGUGCAGUUAAACAAAUGUAAAUAGUUUUUAAUAGUUUAUUCCAGUGACUGGUUUAAAUUUACUGUCUGACUGGGAUAUCAUUGGCCUAGUGUGCUAAUGAUCCUGUCAUUAAAGUUUGUCCCUUUGGUUUUAGUCUAUCACCAAUUUUGUCACUUAUGGAUGGCAAUUCAUUAAAAUAUUCCUGUCUAUCUCAGACACGUAGGACUUCCCAAUGUGGACAAAUGUUUUGGUCUGUUUUCCAAAAAAUAUGUGACAUAUUGGGCAUUGUGCUUUUUUGGUAAGUAUAUCAUACGGGCAUAAAUGAUAGGAUUAGAAUUAGGCCCCUUCGGCCCAUCAAGUCUACUCUGCCAUUCAAUCAUGGCUGAUCUAUCUCUCCCUCCUAACUCCAUUCUCCUGCUUCUGACUCGUGUACUAAUCAAAAAUCUAUGUCUCUGCCAUAAAAAAAAUCAACUGACUUGGCCUCUACAGCCUUCUUUGGCAAAGAAUUCCACAGAUUCACCACCCUCUGACAAUAGCGAUUUCUCCUCAACUUCCUAAAAGCAUGUCCUUUAAUUUUAAGUCUAUGACCUCUAGUCCUAGACUCUCCCACUAGUGGAAAUAUCCAUUCCACGUCCACUUUAUCCAGGUCGUUCACUAUUCUGUAUGUUUCAAUGGGGUCCCCGCUCAUUCUUCUAAACUCCAGGGAGUACAGGUACAGUGCUGACAAAUGCUCAUCAUUGGUUAACCUACUAAUUCCUAGGAUCAUUCUUGUAAACCUCAUCUGGACCCUCUCCAGAGGCAACACGUCCUUCCUCGGAUAUGGUGCCCACAAUUACUCUCAAUAUUCCAAAUGCGACCUUAUAGAGCCUCAGCAUUCCAUUUCUCCAGCAAUUUUGUGUACCUCAGCAUUACAUCCCUGUUUUUGUAUACAAGCUCUCUUGAAAUAAAUGCAUUGAGUUUGCUUUCUUUACUACCGAUUCGACUUGCUGAUUAACGUUUUGGGAAUCUUGCACCAUCACUCCCAAGUCCCUUUGCACCUCCGAAUUCUGGAUUCUCUCUCCAUUUAGAAAAUAGUCUAUGCCUUCAUUCCAAUUACCCAAAUGCAUGACUCCACAUUUUGUUAUUCCAUCUGCCACUUCUCUGCCCACUCUCUCAACCUGUCCAAGUCCCUGUUUUCUCUACACUACCUGCCAACCUAUUUGCGUGUCAUCCACAAACUUGACCACAAAGCCUUCAAUCCCCUUGUCCAAAUCGUCAAUAUGCAACGUGAAGAGCAGCGGCCCAAGCACUGACCCCUGCGGUGCUCUGUCAGUCACUGGCAGCCAACCAGAAAAAAGCCCCCUUUAUUGCCACUCUUUGUCUUCUGCUAUCCAUGCUAGUAUCUGCCCUUUGAUACCAUGGGCUCUCAUCUUCCUUACCUCACGUGUGGCACCUAAUCAAAGGCUUUCUGAAAAUCUAAGUAAACAACAUCUACUGACUCCUUUAUCCUGCUUUUUACUUCUUCAAAGAAUUCCAGCAAAUUUGUCAAGCAAGACUUCCUGUUCACAAGUCAUGCUGACUGGUCUAUUUUACAGUGAACUAAGUAUUCUGUAACCGCAUUCAUUAAUGGACUCUUAAAAUCUUACCAACCACCAAAGUAAUAUUCUGCAUGGGAGUGGAAUAACAAAUGCUUCCAGGGAUUAAACUUGCAAAUGAAGGUGUGUUGUCUGAACAGAAUAUACCAUACAUGCAGCCACAUAUGUUUAAUGAAAAUUGUGUGAAGCACUGCAGCUUUAAUCAAGAGCAGAGAACUAUGAAGGCUGCUGUUAUGUCAUGUUUUGGUUUGGCUAGAAACAAGUAGUUUUGUAACUCUUAAGUUCAAAUAAAGGUCCAGGUUUCUAUGA